UUUUUUGCUUGUGCUAAAUUACAUUGUUAUUUAGUUUUUUUUUUCUUCCUAGUAAAAAACUGUUAUUCCCAUUCCCAUUUCUUUGCCUGAGAGCCCUUUUAAUUCUGAAAUUGUGAUAAUUCGGAAGGAGGGGGUUUACCUUUUCCAUUUCACAGGAGGCUUUUGCCUUCCUUCAUAGACUCCUGUCUUUUCAAACCAAGACACCUUGCAUAUGGGAAAUUUUUUCAGGACAGUACCAAUUUUGGCAGUGGGCAUCUGAAAAGAGGCUGAUGAGAGGCAGCCCUUGAGAUGUCAAGAUCAGCCAGACCUGUCAGGUGGCCUCUGGGAGGCCAAGCCAGCCAGACCUGUUCCAUGUUCCCUCAGUUCCAUGGGGCCCCACAGCAUCCCAAUGGUCUUUUGCUUCCAGGAGGCCCUGAAGUGUCCCAAUGUCCCCUUGGUGACACAAGGCCUUGAAGGUUCAGAAUGGUCUCCAUGGUUCCAUCAGGCCCCACAGAGUCAAAAUGGUCUCUGGGUUCCAUGAAGCCCCGCUGUGUCACCAUGGCCCCUUGGUUCCAUGGGCUCCAGUGGUGCCACAAUGAUCCCCUUGGUUUCAUGAGGUCCCCACAGUGUCCCAGGGAUCUCCAUGGAAAGGAAAGAACCCAGCCCCAGUGUUGCAGGGGCAGUCACCAGAGGCAAGGCCAGCCAGACUUGACAAUACUGGCAGAUUUUGCCUGGGAGCAACCCUUGGAUGUUUGGAAUUUUUGAGGUGGAAUUCCAAUUUCAGACAUAGACACCCAGGAAGGAUGGUUCUGUUCCAUAGGAAGGAAAGCAUGGAACUCCAGUCUUUCGGGGCAGAUGAAAAGCGGCCAUCAGAGGCCUAGGCCAGCCACACCUCUCUGUCCUGGUAGCUUUUGUCUGAAAGGAACCCUUGGAUAUAGGGAAUUUGGGAGAUGGAAGCCAAAUUUUGGCCACUUCUGUGUAGAUAAGAUAGAUCAUUCUUUUCCAUAGGAAGGAAAGUACAGAGCCCAUAUGUUUCAAAGGCAGAUGAGGAGAGAGGAGGCUCCUGGAAUGAUAUUAAUGAUAUCCUCAGGCCAGGUCUUAUGAGCUCUUGGGGACCUAUAUUACACCAAAGAUAGUUCAGCCACCUCAGAUGGCAUAAAAUCAGCAUGUCUUCAGUGGUAGUGUUGGAAACAGAAAAAUUUUAAAAAAAGAUAAAAUAACAAAGGUCUUUACAGAGAAAACCUACACCAGCGGCAAGAGGCUCUUGCUUCCGGUAAAAACCCCACAAAAGUGUUUAGUUCCUUUGUUCCACUUUUUCUAGUAAAUUGUUUAGGAAGGACCUUUUGGCUUCUGUCCAGUUAUCUGUCCUUAAGUUUGGAGUAAAGUCGCAAAAGUCCUAUGAGGUGUCUUUUUACCAAGGAGGCACAUUCCUACACUGGGAGGCCAAGCCCGCCAGACCUGUUUGUCCUGGCAGCUUUUAUCAUGGAGGAAUCCUUGGUUAUAUUGAAUUUGGGAGGAGGAAUCUCAAUUUUGACCAUGGACACCUUGAGAAGAAGGAUGGUUCUUUUCCAUUGGAACAAAAGCACCAGUGUUUCAAAAGCAGGAAAGAGAAGUGCAAAGUCCAAGUGUUCUGGAAGAUGAUGAGAGGUGACCACCCUUAGGACAAGCCAGACAGACCUGUCUCUGCUGGCACCUUUUGUCUAGGGGCUAUCCUUGGACAUAGGGCACUUUGGAGGUGGAAUCUUAACUUUGGCCAUAGGCACCUGGACAGGAAGAAGAGUUCUUUUCAUGAGGAAGGAAAGCACAGAGCCCCAGUGUUUCAGAGGCAGAUGAGUGCCAGCCCUCAGAAAGCCAAGGCCAGCCAGACUUGUCAGUCCUGGCAGCUUUUGUUGGGGAGUUAUCCUUGGAUAUAGGGAAUUCUGGAGGCAGAUACCCAAUUUUAGCCAUGGGUGCCUGGUUGAGAUGGAUGUUUUUUUCCCAUAAGAAAAAAUAAGCACAUGGUCCCAGUGUUUCAGACAGAUGAGAGAUGGGUCCUGGAUGGCCAAGGCAGCCAGAGCUGUCUCUCCUGGCAGAUUUCAUCUGGGAACAAUCUUUGCAUAUAAAGAGAUUUGGAGGAGGAAUCCCAAUUUUGGCCAUGGACCCCUGGAGGAGAAGGACAGUUCUCUCCCACAGGAAGGAAAGGCCAGAGCCCCAGUGCUUCAGGGGCAGAUGAGAAGCAGCCCUCGGCAUGCCAAGGUCAGCUGGACCUGUCAGGUGGUCCCCAGGAGGCCCAGCCAGCCAGACCUGUUCCGUAUUGCCUUGGUUUUGUGGGACCCCACAGUGUCACAAUGGCCCCGUGUUUCCAUGAGGCCCUGGAGUGUCACAAUUGCUUUGUGGUUCCACAAAGCCCUGAUGUAUCACCAUGGCCCCUUGGCUCCAUGCACCCUUGCUGUGUCACAAUGGCUCCUCUGUGACACUACAGGCUCCACAAGGUCACCAUGGACCCUUGGUUCCUUGGGGCCUCUGAGUUUCACAAUGGAGACCAUCCUGGAUUGCCAAGCAGAUUGUAUUCUAUUUGCCAUCUGUAUGGCAGUUGUCUUCUGUUAAGUGGGCAUUUUUCCUUAUCUCUUCAACACCCAAUCCUCCCUCCAGGCAGACAUCUGCUGAUAACAGGCUGUUGAAUGUCACUGCAUGACUGAUAAGAACUACAGCAUCCCACUGGGAGAUGUUCUGCCCAGAGGGGAGAGCCAAGCAUUCCUACCCAGAUAUAAUCUUGACAUUCUGGAACACCAGCAUGGCUUUCUCCACUGGAUUUCCCAGAGGAACAGCAGCUGCCUCUUCCCCUGGAUCUUCAGAGGAAGACUAUAUCUUUCUAAAGGACCCCUGCUCCAGCAGAACUACACCUGACACUCCAGGAGGACUGCAGCCACCAUUCCAAUUGGACUGCUACCAACACCCUGACCAACAGGGUGUCAGGUUGUGUUCUGACUCUGUCAGUGUUGUCUUGCUUUACUGCAUUGUUUAUUUUAUCCUUUUAUUUGCUUCCCUAAUAAAGAACUGUUAUUCCUGCUUCCAUA